CAUAAUAAAGUCAUUGCAGGUUCUGAAGCCUCACGCAUUUCAACUAUAGUUCACUCGCCACAUCGUGAGAAGACGGUGUUAAACCGUCUCUGCCACCGUACGCUCAUUACUAAGCAACAUAUAGGCGCGCACACGCGUGACAGGUGGAUCUUUUUGACAGAACUGCGCAGUGAAGGUGAUGUGGCGGCACAGAGCAGGUGGAGGAAAACCCGCAGGACACAAGAGAGAAGAACUGGUCAUGAAACCAACAAAGAGACAAAGAGAAAGAAAAGACUGUUGAAUGAAAAGUGGAGGUCCAGUUUAGAAUGGCUGGUUUAUGAUGCAGCCAAGAAAACAAUGUAUUGCAACAAUUGUAGGAUGUUAAGGGAUCUCUCUUGUUGGGACAGAGGAAACAAUAAAAGGAGCAUGAAGUUUCCGGUGGCCGUGUCAAAAGCAUUGCAAGUAAACAGACAAAGACAACAAAGUGUUGCGUUUAGAUCCCUGGUCCUCAUGAAGUUGUUACAACUUUGCCAAUUUGUUAAAUUGCCUUGCAAAUAAAUGCUUUGCUAUUUGUUAAAAUCCAAAUCCUUUCAUGUAAUGAUUUUUCACAUGUCAUUUAUAUCAGCUCACACAAACACUUCAACCAUUUGUUCUUGGCCCGGCUCCUCCGUCACAUUUUACAACCCAUUGUGGCCCCCGAGUCAAAAAGUUUGCCGACCUGCUAUAGAGCUGUCCUAGGAGGGACAUCUAAUGGACAACCAAGUACUGCAAGCUAGACUAUUAUGCAGUUGUAGACACAAAACAGGGGGUCCCUGGGCCUGGGUAGGAUAGAAAAGGAGUUUAAUAUGGCUAUUAAAUGUGACUAAAACUAGACUAAAACUAAUUACAUUUUAGUCUAGUUUUCGUCGAAGAAAGAAGUAUUAAAAUGACUAAAUGUGACUAAAACUAAUAUGCAUUUUUCGUCUAAAGACUAAGACUAAAUCAAAAAUUGCUGCCAAAAUUAACACUGGGUCAAAUUGAUCAAAGGAUUCUAAAAGCUAGUGCAUGUGUCUUUACGCACAGUCGUGUCGACGCACUCUAAAAGGCUCUACGGUUCUAAAAGGCUUGCGUGUGUUGCAGAGCAAUAGGUGGAGUAAAGUUUUUUUGUCAAAUACGACCUAGAAAGUGACGUCUUUGUGUGUGGAAGUCGUUGGUUUGUUUAUUUAUUUAUAUCAUAGACUUUAUUGCCCCGUGCAUCGGCAGUGUUGCUUUUCAUCGCGGACACAUUUGUCCCGUAUUUUCCUCCAACACUUUGUGCACCUCACGACCGGCAAACCGGCGCUUUGAUUCCCUUGAAUAAUCCGUGGCCAUCCGCGUGUCCUUAUAGUCCGCCAAUUACGGCUUCUAUAAGUGGUCAUAUUUACGGAUUUCUUCCGACAAAAGCUCUUCAAUCUGAUUCAUUCUCUCGUAAAAAAUCUUCGUUUUAAUAACUGAGUAUUGUGGGUAUUGUGCUAUGAAAUCGGAAAUGUGAGACUCCGGAAAGGAUGUAGUUAGCAGACCAAUCGCAGCCUUGAGGGCUGCAAGAAGCUUGCCACAAAUUAGAUUUGAAUGGUUUUGAAAUGUCAGAAGGCAUGAUAAUAUAAAUAAGUGUAAUUAUUGACAAAGUAACUUUAAAUAAAAGUUCACUAAUUAUUAUAAUUAUUCCACAGGGAUAUUCCACAUUACGUGUCACUAUUCUAUAGUUAUUGUCAGGAACGGGUAGGUGGAGGCAGAACUCAAACGCAGACUUGGAAACAAAAACAGACUUUAAUAGUCAAACUUAAAAAAAAAAAAGCAAAACCACAGACGGGAACCAGGAACAGGCAAGACAGGAAUGACAUUCGAGGAAUGACAUCCAGGAAUCCAGGGUUGAACAACAUUCAAUAAUGACGCGACAAAAGACACACAAGGCUUAAAUACACAGGAAGGUGCAGGUGAUUGGACACAGGUGGAAACAAUCAGACAAUCCAUAGGACGAGGAAGGAAGUGAAGUGACCCAGAGACACAAGAAAACUACAAAAUAAAACAGGAAACAAACCCAAACCGUGACAGUUAUGACAUUACCAUAUUUUAUUUUUGAAUGAAAGGCAAAAGAGUGAAAUAAAAAAAAUGAAUGCGAAAGUGUGUUCAGGCUCCAAAUAAAGUGGUUCAGAUAAUUUAGCCGAACUGUCUGCACUGAAUGCUGAUGUCUGGCUGCUUUGACUGUGUUUUGUGUGACUGACAGAUGUUCUCCAGAUGUACGGAUGAUGCGACUGCAGUGACGAGAGGUGACUUAGACAGUGUCACGGCACCUAUAAGUCCUUGUCAAAGCAGAAAGAAUAGCACUUACAAACCCCCUAGUUUGUCUCUUCAAGCAAACAUCAGAUCAGAAGAGGUGGGGUGGGACGGAAGAGGGGGGGGUCAGGGGGCUACCCGGGGUCUGACCUGGCCCCCCUGGACUGUCCCGGUACAAGAGAAGGGAUGAAGAGACUUUGGAAAGGGGGGGGCAGGAGAGUUUGAUACAGCUGACAUUGAAUGGGGCGGGGGGGAUAAGAGUGACAGAGGGGGAGGAGAGUGGGAGGGAGGAAGAAGAGCAAAGGGGAGGGUUUAGAGAGAGAAAGAGAGAGGGAAGGCAGGGACAGGCAAGAGAGCGAGU
ensembl:lncRNA